rnacentral:rRNA from 1 species
AUAACGGUCCUAAGGUAGCGAAAUUCCUUGUCAGGUAAGUUCUGACCCGCACGAAUGGCGUAACGAUUUGGGCGCUGUCUCAACAGCCCACCCGGCGAAAUUGUAGUACUGGUGAAGAUGCCAGUUACCCGCAACUAGACGGAAAGACCCCAUGGAGCUUUACUGUAGCUUAAUACUGGAAAUCGGUAAAUCAUGUACAGGAUAGGUGGGAGACUUGGAAGCCAGGGCGUCAGCUUUGGUGGAGUCACCCUUGGGAUACCACCCUUGAUUUGCUGGUUUUCUAACCUGCGGCCGUGAAUCCGGUCGGGGGACACUGUUAGGUGGGCAGUUUGACUGGGGCGGUCGCCUCCUAAAAGGUAACGGAGGCGCUCAAAGGUUCGUUCAGCACGGACGGAAACCGUGCAGUGAGUGUAAACGCAUAAACGAGCCUAACUGCGAGACCGACGGGUCGAGCAGUAACGAAAGUUGGAGUUAGUGAUCCGGCGGUAUGCAAGUGGAAGUGCCGUCGCUCAACGGAUAAAAGCUACCCUGGGGAUAACAGGCUGAUCUCCCCCAAGAGUCCACAUCGACGGGGAGGUUUGGCACCUCGAUGUCGGCUCAUCGCAUCCUGGGGCUGUAGUCGGUCCCAAGGGUUGGGCUGUUCGCCCAUUAAAGCGGUACGCGAGCUGGGUUCAGAACGUCGUGAGACAGUUCGGUCCCUAUCCGUCGCGGGCGGAGGAAAUUUGAGAGGACCUGUCCUUAGUACGAGAGGACCGGGAUGGACAUACCGCUGGUGUACCAGUUGUUCCGCCAGGAGCACCGCUGGGUAGCUAUGUAUGGACGAGAUAAACGCUGAAAGCAUCUAAGUGUGAAACUCGCCUCGAGAUGAGAUUUCCCAUUCCUUCGGGAAGUAAGACCCCACAAAGAUGAUAUGGUAGAUAGGAUGGAAGUGGAAGUGCCGUGAGGCAUGGAGCGGACCAUUACUAAUCGGUCGAGGACUUAACCAA